UUCGAUUUCCUUCCAACUUCGAUAAUAGAGUCGUGAUGAGCAAAUUACUCGUCCAUCAUUGCUUGCUACUCUACCCUUAGUCUUGGCCUUACUCUCCGUUGUUGUUAGUCGCUAGCUAUUCGCUAUUGUUCGUUUCGGUUCUGUUUUU